GUUUGUACUUUUUCUAUCUAUUCUCGAAACACAUGAGUAGUCUAAAUCAAACCAGAAAAUUCGAAAACCAUGGUCAUAAAACCUUCUUAAUUUAUACAGUAUCGGCUUAUAAUCAACUUUUAUAUUAUCUUCAUUGGUAAGGCGAACAGAUAUUUGAUGAAUUUCAUCUACGAUGCGAGUCUUGAAUAAUUUGGUGAUAACUAAGUCUGUG
rnacentral:lncRNA from 1 species